rnacentral:rRNA from 1 species
GACGAACGCUGGCGGCGUGCCUAACACAUGCAAGUCGAACGGAAAGGCCCUGCGUGCGUGGGGUGCCCGAGGGGCGAACGGGGGAGGAACAGGUGAGCAACCUGCCCUUGACUUUGGGAUAACUUCAGGAAACGGGGGUUAAGAUCGGACAGGAUACCCCGUACGAGGGAGGGGGUGGGAAAGUCGGGGCGGUCGGGGCUGGACGCGCGGCUUAUCAGCUUGUUGGUGGGGUAGUGGCUUGCCAAGGCAUUGACGGGUAGCCGGCCUGGGAGGGUGGCCGGCCACCUUGGGACUGCGAUACGGCCCAGACUCCUACGGUAGGCAGAAGUGGGGAAUCUUGCACAGUGGGCGGAAGCCUGAUGCAGCAGCGCCGCGUGCGGGAUGACGGCCUUCGGGUUGUAAACCGCUUUCGCCUGUGACGACGCGUGAGUGACGGUAAUGGGUAAAGAAGCACCGGCUAACUACGUG